GUCCCAUUCGUUCAAUGGAGAGGACAGGGGAUUCCUAAUCCUCAGAUACAGGUUCAAGUCCUGUAUGGGACA
rnacentral:tRNA from 1 species